rnacentral:rRNA from 1 species
UACGUAGGAUGCAAGCGUUGUCCGGAUUUACUGGGCGUAAAGCGCGCGCAGGCGGCAAGGUAAGUAAGGUGUGAAAUAUCCCGGCUCAACCGGGAGGGUGCACUUUAGACUGUUUUGCUUGAGGUCGGUAGAGGGGGGUGGAAUUGCUGGUGUAGCGGUGAAAUGCGCAGAUAUCAGGAGGAACACCUAUUGCGAAGGCAGCUCGCUGGGACGUAACUGACGCUGAGACGCGAAAGCGUGGGGAGCAAACAGG